UCCGUCGCGAGUUCGCGCAGUGAUCGUCGGUCAUGUUUACUGUUAUUUUUCGCUGCUAACCGUAGACGCAUCGGCCGAUGACUUUUUCGUGCUUUGCUCGCUGAUCGACAGCGCGUAGAUAUGUGUUCCUCGGUGACGCCUGCGCCAGCUCGGGCGAACCGACACAAAAGGCGACGCGCCGUCUGGGCGAUUCGAUGAGUGUUGUGACAAACAAAGGCGACCCGACGAGCAGGAGGACUUCCGAAGGAGCGAGAGUGUAAUCAGCGUAUCAGUCGUGCCGAGCGUCUAAGCUCAGGCAGGCGCCGUCAAAAUUCUUUUCCCACGUCCUGCGAUGAGUCUUCGGACCCUUUCCAGGCAGAGGGGAGUGCCAAAUUAGCCCGGAAACCACCGAGUUUCCUGCCAGUCCGACGAGCGUAAACGCGACGGACGACGUCGUCGGGCAUGUCACGUCUCAACGUUAGGCCUACUGCCACCAGACGCGCUGACGACUUGGACGGCCGCCGCGGUGUGUUGUCCGUUCCCGGAUUAUCAUGGUUUUUCCGAGAGCCGUCGGCCCUCGCCGUUGCCAGCUGCUGAUGUUCUGAAGCAACACGCUCAACCACCGCACAUCGGCCAGCCAUGGGAAAUUGCCUCAAGUCGAUGUCGUCCGAUGACAUCUCGCUGCUGAGGGAUAACCAAGGCACAAGGGACUCAUCAGCUGAUCAGCUCGGACCCCCGCCGCCUUACCAGGAGACGGUGUCCAUGCCGGUGUACUACCCUUCGCCCAACGUGAGCCGUCCAGCCUGCCAGCUGACCGAGGAAGAGCAGGUGGUGAUCGCCCAGCGCAUGGGCCUCAUCCAGCACCUUCCGACGGGCCUCUAUGAUGGCAGCAAGAAGAACAGAGAGUGCGUGAUAUGCAUGGGAGAGUUUGCAAUGGGUGAUGCAGUCCGGUUCCUGCCGUGCAUGCACAUCUACCACACGGAUUGCAUUGACGACUGGCUGAUGCGCUCCUUCACUUGUCCCUCGUGCAUGGAACCGGUGGAUGCGGCACUGUUGACCACCUACCAGACCAACUGAGGGCCCCUCUUCGCGACACGUUGCGCGCACGCGCACUCGUUGGUGAGUCCAGUGAUAGGUCUGUGUUGACGUGGGACAUGUUUAGCCGCCUGGCAUCCUCUCUGAACAGUCUGCUGCCGCAGGGUGUGCCGCGGCUGUACUAAGUGAGCAAAAUUUGCGAGCGCAGACGCGCAGGAACUCCUCGCCUCUGUUGUGCGCAGAGAGCAAGACGGAAGUUCCUCAGACUCCGUCAGCUGCUUCUGCCAGCCAUGGUUUCACCAGCGCACCAAAAGGAGACGGAGAGCAUUUCCAACGUCGCGAGACAUGGAAUGACGCAGGCUCGUCGACGCCAACCCUAGGGGCUUGGUGCCUCCUGCCGUCAUUAAAAAUUGUCCAGCCAGAAAAGCGCACCGGUGCAAGCUUCUGCUUGAGGACUUCUCAGUGCUGGCUUUCUAGGCUUUUUCCCUGAGCCUGUGUGUGGAUAUGUAAAUAGAGAGUGUAUUAGCACUGCUUAGUUGUGAUGCUCUAAGGUUAAUGGAAGGCUCUCUCCCCUUACCUUUCCUGGUGCAUGACGCACCCCCAGAGUGUGUCGGCUAAGUGGGCUUUGCAUUGACAUGACCUUGUAUUGGAGUGUCAUUUGAAAUAUUCUUUUUUUUUCAUAAUUGUUAUGAUUUGGUCCCGUUUCUUUUCGUUGUUCCUCUGUUCGGUUGUUCGCUGAGGAAGCUAACACACUGCGGAGAGCAGUAGUGAUAGUGUGGGCAAACACUCCAGUUUCUGGAUUGAUAGUCCUUUGAGUGAGCCUAGUUUUCAUCCACUUGUGAUAAGUUAGUGUCUGCGCCUGCGUCGUAAGACGUGGGUAUUGCUUUUUUUUUUUUUUUUUUGAUGAAGUCUGGAAGAAAGAAUGUGGUGCUGACUUUGUACUUUGCCAUGCGUUUGCUAUUCGUCAGUCGUAUUUGCCCACUUUGAGCAUGUUAACAAAAGCAGCUUUUUAUAGCCGACACGCGGUUCCUCCUGUUCUUAAAACAAGGUCCUUAACUGUCCUAUGUCUCGGCUGUCCUCUCACCGAUUCCCUUUAUAUUGAAGGUCUCAAUCAUGCUGUGAAAUCUAUCUUGCCGAUUGCUAUUGCGAGGACAGAGCAAAGGUUAUGAACAAUGUUUUGUUGAACGUUAGUAGUGGUGUGUUUAUGUUGAAGCAAACGGAAGAAAGCUUCCACGGUGUUAGUGACAGUAUGAAGCCCAAAGUCAUGUUGCACAAUUCAGUGCGAUGAUGGUACUUGCCACCAACUAUUGUCUUAUUUGUUGUGAUGCCACACUGGGCUCAACAGUAAGCUGGGUAGAGUAGUGUGGCGUCAAACUUGUAUGUGUAAACUUGGCUUGCAAAAAUGGAAGCACCAAUUUCUCGUGUACCAAGCUGCAGAUGGGCAGAGAAAUAAUUAGGCAUGCUUGAACUCUAAUGGACUAUACAGGUCCUUGAAUAUUUAGUAUGAAAUGUUAUGAGGGAGUUGCUUACACCUCGUGCUUGUUUGUGUCCAAACCUCGUAAUGCGUAUCGCAGCCUAUGUUUAGCAAAGCAUUUUUGCGCUAGGUUAUCCGAGAAAUGGAAAUCCACUGCCUCAACAAGCGGUCCCAGCCAGCCAGCUAAACUGUGAAGUGGCCUGUGCAAACAUUAGCAUGUGCCGAGGUCCUCCAAGACUAAGCAAGCCUUGUUGACAACAGUGCAGGCCAUUGCAGAGUGGAGUAUCUGCUUUGUCUUUUGCACAAACAACGCUAGUUAAGCUGGUUGCUUGGAAUGUUUCUUUGAUUGGCGAGUAUAAUAGAGAAAUGGGUAAUGAAACAAUAUUUAAAGUGCAAUAGGGAAUGGGGGCUGGCAGAACUUUACGCUUGCACCAGUCCAUUUCAAAAUCAACUUUUUUAAAAUUUUCAUAAACACCUCUACUCCCCAAUCAUAUGAUGCGUGAAAGUUCCCCCUCACUGAUAAUUAAAAUCUAACUAAAUAUCUGGGCACGAGCAAACAAAAGUUUUAUCUCUUUUUUCUUUCCAUGAAGUAAGGUCAAAUGUAAAGUUUUGUAUAGGUUUGACAGAUUCGAACACAGAGUGAGUGUAAGCCAUUCGCGCAAUGUACUGCAAAUUUGCAGUUGCUGUUCUGCGAUACCACAUUCAAGGCUAGUAUGUUGUGUUACGCUCCAGGCUUGAUUAAAAAAUUGCGAGGAGUUGAGGUUUGCCGAGUGCGAAGGCCAGAUUGCAGCGCUGGCCAUUAAUCUGCUUGGAAUGAAUCUGCCUAGUACCCGAGUCUGACUGUAUGUAUAACAGCACAUUGCUUCAGAGUAGCGGUUGUUUGCACAUUUGUAUAGCUUUUGAAACUUGAGCUUACCAGGGUUUUCGCCGCACUACAAUUACAACACGGUCACAGAUAGCCAGCCAUUUUAGCUUCCUUUUAAAUGGGCGUUGGCAGUAGGUUGAGGCAGCUUGAACAUCUAUAAAAGAAAUAGACGUCUCUUAUAUAAGGAGCCCUCUGUAUUUUAUGACCUAGAACGGUUUAUUUCGGGCCUGCCUAUGAGGAUGUGGCCUCUAAUGACGGGACAGUGGUUUUGAGUCCUUUUGUGCAACGCCACCUCGCUAUGGAAGUUCGGUAGUGAACAAUGGCCGUUGCACCAAGUAUUCCCGAUAUUUUGUUUUCUUGUUACCCCCAAUAUUGUUUUGUUUGUUUUGCAGACAAAGUUGUUUAUCAUAGACGCACACUUCACUUUCUUACUUUUUUUUUAUCCCCCGACAUGGUGUAGGAAUCGCAUCCGUACUUACUGGUAGACAAACUCUUUCAUUCACCACUUGUUUGUCUGCAGGUUGUUUUACAGACAGCUUUCCAUUAUCUUUUUUUUUUUUUUUGUAUGAACCCUUGCUUAGGGGAAGUCAACAUAAUAGCUUUGUGUUAAAAAUUUAUUUGAUCGCUGGAGUUGCGAAAAAGGUUUCAGUGGUCAGUCAGUAUGCUUGCCACACUGGAAUGGACACUUGUGCUAGUUUUGAAAGCGUGGAAGGCCCACUGUUUCGUUUUGCGCAUACCUUGUUUUGAGCUUGUAAAACAUUAGGAUGCUCCUUUCCGUGUUAAGUUGUCGGGUGUGUUAGGAAAGAAAAAAAGAAAACAAAAACGGCAGAGAGCCUUUCAUCGCGCAAAGUAAAAUAUCUUGGCCUAGUCAUUAGCAGUGAUGGAGCUUUCAUGUGCGGUUUUCAUUCCUCCUUGGGACGUGUAAAUAAAAGAAAUAUACUUGA